UACAGAGGUCUCAAGCGUUGUUCGGAUUCAUUGGGCGUAAAGGGUGCGUAGGCGGCGCGGUAAGUCGGGUGUGAAAUCUCGGAGCUUAACUCCGAAACUGCAUUCGAGACUGCCGUGCUUGAGGACUGGAGAGGAGACUGGAAUUUACGGUGUAGCGGUGAAAUGCGUAGAUAUCGUAAGGAAGACCAGUGGCGAAGGCGGGUCUCUGGACAGUUCCUGACGCUGAGGCACGAAGGUCAGGGGAGCAAACGGG
rnacentral:rRNA from 1 species